rnacentral:misc_RNA from 1 species
GAUUUCAAUUUUAAAAAAUAAAGCGAAACACACUUUUCAUGCUUUAAUAGUUGUAUUAAAUUGUGAAUUAAAAAGCUGAUUAAAAAGAAAAAUAAAUAAUUUAAUCUUAUAUGUAUACUAUGCAAAUUCUCAAAUUUAUUAUUAGUUUAACAUUCUAUGAUACUUUUUUAUAAGAUAUACACAGUUAUACACAUGUAUUUAGAGCCUAUUUCUUUUUCAGUUAUAAUGACCAGUCCAGGUCUGAAUAAAUAUGUGACAAUGACAACAUCAACAGUGUAUUCUCUGUGACAUGACAAGUUUUAACAUUAUGAAGAGCUCACAUUCAAAUUAUGUUAACAAGUAAACAUCAAUGACCCUGUCUUGUUCUGUUUUAAAUUAAUAGAAAUCAGCAGCUAAAAGACAGCGUUUCAGGUCAACCUUGCAGAGAUGAAGUAAUAUUGUACAUCAAAUUGUGACUUCAACUAUGCCACCCAACUGAAACUAAUUAAGAUUAGUUAUAUAGAUCAUUUUCCUUUGCACUAUUCAGUUUGAAGCUAUAUUUUCCAUAAGGUGUAGGGAAUGCUAAAAAGCAUUCGAACAGCCCUUGUUUUACUUUACCGCUCAUCUUCUUUUAUGACUUGCAUGAGUUCAAUUUUCAACAUCAGUACAUCAAAUAGUCUACACUAGAAAUGGCCAAACCAUCUCAUGCCCCACUCUGACAAUUUAUUCUCAAUGGAUGCCACUUCCACUUUUUUAUGAAUGCACUCAUUUCUCAACCAAUCCUUAAUUCCUUAUAUCUCAACACAUCAUCUCAGCUUCCCUAUCGUUUACCAUACUCAUUUUUUGAAAACUUUUUUUCAUCAACCACCAUUCAUCAUUGCUAAACAAAUUGAUGUUUUUUAGAAUUCCUGCAUCAACUUAAUGACCUUGCUGUUAAAUACAACAUUCAUUGCACUUCACCAUUCUAUUCAGUCUACCUUAAUUCUUUGAGAAACAUCCUCCUCACUCUCCAUGUCCUUUGUAUGAUAGAAAUUGUCAAAAGUGAUUAACUUGCUCUACUCCAUCUGACCACAUUCUCCCAGAAGGUUUUUACUUGAAUCAUUCUUCAAAACAAAGCUAUAGUUAACAAAUUUACUGACAACCUAAAGAAAGGGAAGCAGCUGAGAUGGUACUUUUGGAGGAACAACAUUGCUACUUAGGCAUUUAGGUUACCAGACAGGGCUUAUCAGCAUAAUGGCAUUCAAGUUACAUUGCCGGUGCAUCCAUUUACAUGUCUAAGUACAGUGCUGUACAUCCCUGACCUAAAUGAAAUAAAACCAAUAAAUUUCUCAUGUCAGUUGCGUCA